UACGUGGUAGUGUUAGCAGAACUGUUGCGUUUGGAAGUACCAGAGUAUUGGUGUAGUGGAAAUGCUAAGUAAUAGCCUGAAGCAGUGAUUGAGCACCUGAUGGGAAGGGAGGGCCAGGGUGGGAAGGGAGCUCAGGUGCAUGUAAUGUACCUGAGUGACUGGAAGAAUGUGCCCCUUCUCAGACCUCAUUUAAGGGUUGGCAGUGGAGGUGAGGAGUUAUGUAGUUAUGGCUAUAAAUAAAAUGGCAGAGUACUGGGGCGAGACAUAGUGUUUCUUCUGAUAUGUCUGUAUUGGGUAGAUCCUACUGCUGAAGAAAUGCUGUCUUGACUGCAAGGGCUAAGAGUAAUACAGGAAUGCUGUGUUAUUCCUCUACUUAGAAGGAACUGACCCUGUGAAGCUCACAGAAAUGCUGCUAAAAGACAGCAUAUAUGAAGCUUUUCCAUGACUCUUUGUAAAUAAGUGGGAAUGCCCUCUUACCACUGUCUGGAUGGUAAGAAAGUCACAUCUCAGUGGCACUGAAUAUGGAUUAGGAUCUUCAUUCCACCUUCCCUUUCUGCUUUAGAAUGCCAGAAGAUAUGGUUUGCUCCAUAUAAAGAAGGGGACCAUGAUCUGAAUAGUUUGAGAAGAACUUUUUGUCCUGCUGCUUUUACUGUACCACAGCUUCCAAUUAAUUUGCUGGCUAAAUUCAUGUUGCUGCUCUUGGCCUGUAAAAGCUGACCUGAAACCAUGUGAUAUUCCUGCAGAAGUCACUAGCAGAUCACCUCUGAUAAUUGACCUCAUCUUCAACAAGCAGAGAUGUGUUCUGCUUGUUUCUUCAGUCUUCCACGUGUGGAGUUUCUGGAGGUUAGAUGAAUGAAUUAAAUGAUCUAAAGGAAUACAUGGGUGCACAAAUCAUGAAUAGCAAAGACAUUUUAUUAGUUUUUAUUUAAACAGUAAGUUGUAAUGUGCCAAAGCAAGUCAUUUUCCCUUACUUCUUCCUUGUGGAAUGAUUCCUGCUGUGCUCAGACAGAAUGUCAAGGUAAGGCUUAAUUCAAUCAAUAUCUCUUAGAAAUGUUUUUUCUGUGUCAGAAAUGAAAGAGAAAAAGGAGCUUUUAAGUGAAAUAUUUCAUUGGAAAGGAAUAAUGGUGUGAUGAGUUUCAUACUCUAGAGAGCUGAACUUGGUUCUCUUUCCUAACACAGAAACCCUGUGAAAUGCUGGGUAAAUCACUUAAAUUUCAAACUCCAAUUAAUUUGAAGAGGAGUAAAAUACUUAAAUACCUACUGAGAGGUAGGACUCAGCCACUCUGUGAAUUGGUUAGUAACAGCUGAUAGCUUGUUUUUCCUUGUAAAUCUUUGAAUAUUUUGAAAGUGCGUUCUGUGCAUAGGAUGUGGUGAUGGACAUCAUAGACUGACAAGAUAUAUUUGUAUAUGUAACUGUAAAAUAUUAGUGAAAACAUCUAAAUGAUAAGAGAAUUGUGUUGGCUUUGUUUUGUUUUCUCUCAAAAGGGAAAAUUAUGUAAACGCUUCAAUAACAGUAUGGCUGUAUUUCUUGUGGACUCAAUCCAUGUCAAUUUUCUCUGUUCUGUACUUGGUUGUUCAUCACAUUUAAUAGAGGUUUUUGGUGUUAAUCUUUGUGAUUCCUUACUCCCAGACUUGUGAAUGAUCAAAACAAAUUAGUAUCUAUUUUUGUAGAGGUUACCAAGGUGGUGUAGGAAAGUAUAAAAGGGAUGACAUUAACAAAAUAGAACUAACAUCAGAAAAAAAUAUUGUUUUAUUGUUUUUUCCACGAUAUUGGGUGAAGCUAAAAAUGGAAAACGAAGAACCUAAAUGAAAUUCUCUGAUUUCCUUUCAGAUCAGGCAUCUAGCAAUUGACAGCAAAUUUAGAAUUAAUAUAAGCUCAUAAUGAGAUGCGAGUUAGUAAGAAAUUUGGAGUAGCUCAGAGCAGAUCAUUUUAUUCACUCUUGUCAGCUAGACCAAAAAACUUGCUUAAAACAAAUGUGGUUGCCUUUGCAGAUAUGAACCUUCUUAAACUAUCUGAACAGGUGAUUAUAGUUUGUAUUACAAGCAGCUAUGCUCAGAAAUAUAUUUCUGGAGAAAAAGAAAUGCUAGGUGUCAGCACGAUUCCUGCUUCUAUCACAGAAGUAACAGAAUCAAGCAAUAGCUUAUUUUAGACAUCUGAACUUGCGUUUCUUUAAAGAGAUCAAAGCAAGUUUGAUAUAGUAUAGCAGUUAAAGAAUUUUAAAAGUCUUUCCUACAAGUAGAGUUUGACAGUCUUGUUUUGAAAAACAUAUUUUGAUAAUUUGGUCCUGUAUUUUGCUUGUUUGGCUUUAUGCAUCUCACUGAAGCCAGUGAAAUUAUGUAUGGAGAGUUAAACUGCUUAUAUCUUUAUGCUGUUGAAGAUCUUGACAUUAUUUAUUGCUUAGCUAUUCUGCAGUGCAGUUGUCUCCUGAAAACAAAGUGGGUGAAAUGCAGAAAUGUUUUUAAAAAGGGGAAGAAAAAAAUCUGCAAAAUGAAUUAGUACUUAUUGGCAGCUGAGAGUUUUGCAACAAGAUUUAGAGCAAAACUGUGAGAUGGUAAUUAUUAUUUACUGCGCUUUAGUUCUUUGAAUACAAAUUAAUGUGUAAGCUAAGUAGAUCAUUACCUCUGCUUUUAUCUCCUCAUAGAUAAACUAUGAGGAAAAAAUGCCAUUGAUUUGAGAGAGUGUGCCUGUGCAAUUAUCUGCUAUCUUGCUGUUUACCAUGUCUAAGCACAAAUGUUGUAUUUUGCCCUGACCACGUUAGCAUCAGUAGAGAGGUCAGUACCAUUAGCAGAUUGAUCCUUCUCACACUCUGUUUUAUGGCCCAUAUCCAUUGUUAGUUUCACUUCAACGACUUUUCUGUUUCUUUCACUUCAGUUAAUUUAAAUAAACAA